AUUGAACGCUGGCGGCAGGCCUAACACAUGCAAGUCGAACGAGUGGCGGACGGGUGAGUAAUGUCUGGGAAACUGCCUGAUGGAGGGGGAUAACUACUGGAAACGGUAGCUAAUACCGCAUACCAUCGGAUGUGCCCAGAUGGGAUUAGCUAGUGGGGGGGGUAACGGCUCACCUAGGCGACGAUCCCUAUCUGGUCUGAGAGGAUGACCGGCCACACGGGAACUGGGACACGGUCCAGACUCCAACGGGAGGCAGCAGUGGGGAAUAUUGCACAAGGGGGGCAAGCCUGAUGCAGCCAUGCCGCGGGUAUGAAGAAGGCCUUCGGGUUGUAAAGUACUUUCAGCGGGGAGGCGUUACCCGCAGAAGAAGCACCGGCUAACUCCGUGCCAGCAGCCGCGGUAAUUC
rnacentral:rRNA from 1 species